rnacentral:rRNA from 1 species
AACGAACGCUGGCGGCAGGCCUAACACAUGCAAGUCGAACGGGAUCUUCGGAUCUAGUGGCGGACGGGUGAGUAACGCGUGGGAACGUGCCCUUUGGUUCGGAAUAGCCCUGGGAAACUGGGAGUAAUACCGGAUGUGGUCGAGAGACGAAAGAUUUAUCGCCAAAGGAUCGGCCCGCGUUGGAUUAGGUAGUUGGUGGGGUAAUGGCCUACCAAGCCGACGAUCCAUAGCGGGUUUGAGAGGAUGAUCAGCCACACUGGGACUGAGACACGGCCCAGACUCCUACGGGAGGCAGCAGUGGGGAAUCUUAGACAAUGGGGGAAACCCUGAUCUAGCCAUGCCGCGUGAGCGAUGAAGGCCUUAGGGUUGUAAAGCUCUUUCGUGGGGGAAGAUAAUGACUGUACCCCAAGAAGAAGCCCCGGCUAACUCCGUGCCAGCCGCCGCUGUAACAC